rnacentral:rRNA from 1 species
CGUAGCCUGACGCAGCGACGCCGCGUGAGGGAUGGAGUCCUUNNNGGAUGUAAACCUCUUAAAGGGGACGAUAAUGACGGUACCCUUUGAAUAAGCCACGGCUAACUCCGUGCCAGCAGCCGCGGUAAUACGGAGGUGGCGAGCGUUGUCNNNGAAUCACUNNGGCGUAAAGGGUGUGUAGGCGGUCUGAUGUGUCGGGUGUGAAAUCCUUCGACCUAAUUGGAGAAUGGCAUCCGAAACUAUCGGGCUUGAGGCCAUGAGGGGAGAGUGGAACUCGCGGUGUAGCGGUAGAAUGCGUGGAUAUCGCGAGGAAUGCCGAUGGCGAAGGCGGCUCUCUGGUGUGGUCCUCGUAAGGGGAGCUGAUUAGUCUUUGGAUCAUUGAUUAAUUGGUCCUGACGCUGAAACACGAAAGCUGGNNNAGCAAACGGGAUUAGAUACCCCGGUAGUCCCAGCCCUAAACGAUGUGCACUUGGCAUAUGCUGCUUGGUGUGUGCCGGAGGUAACCCGUUAAGUGCACCGCCUGGGGNCUACGGCCGCNAGGUUGAAACUCAAAGGAAUUGA